rnacentral:lncRNA from 1 species
GAAUGAAAUCUCUGUUGAUCUCUAUGACAUACUUUUGGACUUUAAUUUUGAUGGAUUUAGGACAUGUUGAUGCCUAUUUUGAAUGACAUGUUAAAUAACUUUUGCGUAAUAUUGAAUGCCUUUGCUACUAAUGAUAUUAUUAUUAUUAUUAUUAUUAUGAGCCAAUCAAUGUACCAAAUGUACCAGAUUAUUGGAAUAUGAUCAGUGACCAAAUUUGGUUACUGAAUUGUUUACCAAGAAUUGUGACAAGAAGCCAUAAACUUAGUGACAGAAUUUUGGUUACUAAAAAUUGAUUUUGCUCAGUGCAUUGUGACAAAUUAGUGAUGGUAACUUUGGGACCAUGUUUGUGACGACUAAAUCUAUCACUGAAGGUUGUGACAGAUCAAUGACCAAACUAUUAGUUAAUUUUUUAUUUUGUUUUAGGUCCUAUUGCAUAUAUUGUUUAUGAUUUUGAUUAUCCUGUUAUGUCGAAUAGCUAUUCUAUCUCAGUUGAAGACUCAAACAAAUCAACAUCACAUCAUAUAUUGUGAUAAGGUAGAUAAAUAUGACAUAUAGUUUUAAAAAAUUACUUUAUUAUCUUU